rnacentral:lncRNA from 1 species
GAAUUUGGUCACCAGUGCUCAAAAAAGAAAGAGAAGAAAAGGAAUAGGAACAGGCAUUAUUAAAGUCUCACAGACACUGUAGAAUAUGGUCAAGUACCAAAGGAAAUCCUGUGCAGAGUCCUGUAAUUUCUCUAUGCAGAGCUUUCUUAUACUGUUCUAAGGAAUCUCCAGCAAUUGUCAACACCAGUUAAUAUUCUUCACCUUACUUCAGGGUUCUGAUUCAACCCUAUACAUCAUGUGUGUUUUCCUGAGAAGACAUUCAAAAAACGCUG